UCUCCGUGUUAAUCUUUUCUUAGAUUCCAUUAAUGUUCACUUUGUUUUGGUUUUCUUUGCUAUAGUAAGUGAUAGUUUCUUGUUGUACUGCUAACAUGUAUAUGUGCAUUUAUUAUCAUUAGCAAUUUAGGAUUGGUCUGUUAGGCUUAGGAAUUGUCUGUUAUGCAUUUACUAUAAUUAGCAAUUUUUCUUUAGCCUAUCUAGUUCGUAAAUGUCCACUCUUGUUCAUAAAUCUUCUUUAUAGAUUAAUGUUUGCUACAAACCUUUGGAAAUUGAGUUAAGAUUAGUUUAAUCAUUGUAAGAUUGAGCUUGCCAACUUGCUGUUUGUGAUGAGUUUUAUUAGUUAAAAGUGUCGUAUUAAUCUUAUUUAAUAGUGUGUACUCAAGAAUCACAUCUAAGAUGCUCAAUAUUUUNNNN
rnacentral:lncRNA from 1 species